GACGAACGCUGGCGGCGUGCCUAAUACAUGCAAGUCGAACGCAGUGGGGACGGCUGAGUAACACGUGGGUAACCUCCCAUCAGAGGGGAUAACACUUGGAAACAGGUGCUAAACCGAUACUGAUUUAUGGACCCGCGGUGCAUUAGCUAGUUGGUGAGGUAACGGCUCACCAAGGCCACGAUGCAUAGCCCACGGGGGAGGGUGAUCGGCGCCACUGGGGGUGAGACACGGCCCAGACUCCUACGGGAGGCAGCAGUAGGGAAUCGGCGGCAGUGGACGAAAGUCUGACCGAGCGACGCCGCGGGUGUGAAGAAGGUUUUCGGAUCGUAAAGCUCUGUUGUUAGAGAAGCGGUAGCUAACCAGAAAGCCACGGCUAACUACGUGCCAGCAGCCGCGGUAAUUC
rnacentral:rRNA from 1 species